AGUGAACGCUGGCGGUAGGCCUAACACAUGCAAGUCGAACGGCAGCACAGUAAGAGCUUGCUCUUACGGGUGGCGAGUGGCGGACGGGUGAGGAAUACAUCGGAAUCUACUUUUUCGUGGGGGAUAACGUAGGGAAACUUACGCUAAUACCGCAUACGACCUACGGGUGAAAGCAGGGGAUCUUCGGACCUUGCGCGAUUGAAUGAGCCGAUGUCGGAUUAGCUAGUUGGCGGGGUAAAGGCCCACCAAGGCGACGAUCCGUAGCUGGUCUGAGAGGAUGAUCGGCCACACUGGAACUGAGACACGGUCCAGACUCCUACGGGAGGCAGCAGUGGGGAAUAUUGGACAAUGGGCGCAAGCCUGAUCCAGCCAUACCGCGUGGGUGAAGAAGGCCUUCGGGUUGUAAAGCCCUUUUGUGGGGAAAGAAAAGCAGCAGGUUAAUACCCCGCUGUUCUGACGGUACCCAAAGAAUAAGCACCGGCUAACUUCGUG
rnacentral:rRNA from 1 species